rnacentral:rRNA from 1 species
CCCUUCGGGGACAUUGGUGACAGGUGGUGCAUGGUUGUCGUCAGCUCGUGUCGUGAGAUGUUGGGUUAAGUCCCGCAACGAGCGCAACCCUUGUCUUUAGUUGCCAUCAUUAAGUUGGGCACUCUAGAGAGACUGCCAGGGAUAACCUGGAGGAAGGUGGGGAUGACGUCAAAUCAUCAUGCCCCGUAUGCUUAGGGCUACACACGUGCUACAAUGGGUAGUACAGAGGGUUGCCAAGCCGUAAGGUGGAGCUAAUCCCUUAAAGCUACUCUCAGUUCGGAUUGUAGGCUGAAACUCGCCUACAUGAAGCUGG